GUUAAAAUGAACGACAAGAAAGAAAAAAAAAAUCAAGAAAAUUACCAUUAUUAAUUCAUUAGCUGCUUAUUGGUAUGUAAAUAUAUCCAAACUCUGGCGGAUCGGUCCUGAUUAAUGAAUAAUUCAUGCACUUCUGCAGCAGUGUUCAUGUCCACUGCUGCAUGCGCAGUUUUCAAAAGGACAGUCAAGCGUCUUAGCAUUUUCCAAAGAACUAAUUGUGUCAUCUGUUACUCUUUUCCUGGCUUUUGAGUGUAUUUCAAUAUUUUAACAGUUUUAAUCGUUUCAGCAUUAAGACUUGUAUGGCCAUAAACUUAGGUAAGAAAACGUCAGCAAGGUAGGUCUCCAUAGCAACGUCUGUAUUCUUGCACGAGUUUCUUCCAGGUGUAAUCUGUCUCGAUUUAAAAGUCGACCUGGCUGUUUUGGUGCACAACCACAGCAAGGCUACAAGCAAACCAUGGGAGGGGAUGAGGAGAGGGAGGGCGAGAGAGAGGGGACAGAGGCGAGGAUGGGAGGAGAGAAAGCCGUUCGGCCACUGGUCUUCACCAGAGUGCUUAAUAUUCAAUGAUCUGUGAUCCGAACUCACGCAGGGGACGUCAAAACAACAGUGCUUUAAUCAUCUCAAAGAAGGAAGCACAGGGCGAAGUGAACGACUGAUCUUGACUCAAAGUCAGCGCUUGCCAGUGGCGAUUUUCAAACUUUUGCUUUUGAGAAUUAAUUUCCAAAGUCAGGAUGGAACGGCGUCUUGUAUCGUAUGCAAAUACGCCUGCUGACGUAGUUGAUCAUGUGGGUUUUGGCGUAGAUCCCCCUGUGAUCGCCAAUUUUUUUCGGCUGUUGUCUUUAGAAUUCGGCAGAAUCGUUACAAUCGUACGCUCCUGUGGGCUGUACACGUGGAAAAGUACACAAUUUCGGACUCUAGCUGUCAAUAACCUCGCGUUCCCAGCGUUUUCCGUUGGUUGGUGGGCAGACUGUGUGAUCUGGGAUGAAGUCUCAUGAAGUCUUCCAUUGGAGCUGACAUUCACAGUCAGCAGAAUCAUCCUUUACCGAUCCUCCAGCAGACAAAGACCUGCUCAUUGCCCAUCAACAGAGUCCCCCUGCACUGCACCGUCUUACUCCCUGACCAUGGCUAGUCGAAGAAAGUCUACAACACCCUGCAUGAUCCGACCGGAUGACUUGGUGACUGCAGAUGAUCCAGAAGAAAUGGAUUCCUGUGUGGAUGGUCCAGAAGAGAAUGGAUCCUCACAUGUGUCUUCUAGUGACGAUCGGACAGAAGGAAGGAAGAGUUCUGUGAACUCUGUGCAGGAAGCAACAGAGCUGGAAAAACCUGAAGUGAAAUCACGACCACAGAGGAAACUCCAGGGAGGCUAUGAGUGCAAAUACUGUCCCUUUUCCACACAAAAUCUCAACGAGUUCAAAGAUCAUGUUGAUUCCAACCACCCCAAUGUGAUACUCAACCCACUGUACUUGUGUGCGGUGUGCAACUUCAACACAAAAAAGUUUGAUUCUUUGACAGAACACAAUGAGAAGUGCCAUCCUGGGGAGAGCAACUUUAAGUUCAAGAGAAUCAAACUCAACAGUCAGACCAUUCUAGAACAGACAA
ensembl:lncRNA